UAGAUGGGCAGCCAGAUAUAUCAAGGCCUUUUGGAUCUCAGCCUUGGCAUAGCUGUCACAAACUCAUAUAUGUCAGACCAAAUCCUAAAACUGGGGUUCCUAUAGGUCAUUGGCCUGUUCCAGAGUCUUUUUGGCCAGAUCAAAAUUCGCCAACACUACCACCUCGUACAUCUCAUCCUGUAGUGAAGUUUUCCUGUACAGACUGUGAACCAAUGGUUAUUGAUAAACUUCCUUUUGACAAAUAUGAGUUGGAACCUUCACCACUGACUCAAUUUAUCCUGGAAAGGAAAUCUCCUCAAACAUGUUGGCAGG
rnacentral:lncRNA from 1 species